UUUUCUCAUUCCUUUCCCAAA
ensembl:piRNA 21ur-13861 ncRNA